GGGCAAUUGGCGGGCGUGCUAUACAUGCAAGUCGAGCGAACAGAUAAGGAGCUUGCUCCUUUGACGUUAGCGGCGGACGGGUGAGUAACACGUGGGUAACCUACCUAUAAGACUGGGAUAACUUCGGGAAACCGGAGCUAAUACCGGAUAACAUUUGGAACCGCAUGGUUCUAAAGUGAAAGAUGGUUUUGCUAUCACUUAUAGAUGGACCCGCGCCGUAUUAGCUAGUUGGUAAGGUAACGGCUUACCAAGGCGACGAUACGUAGCCGACCUGAGAGGGUGAUCGGCCACACUGGAACUGAGACACGGUCCAGACUCCUACGGGAGGCAGCAGUAGGGAAUCUUCCGCAAUGGGCGAAAGCCUGACGGAGCAACGCCGCGUGAGUGAUGAAGGGUUUCGGCUCGUAAAACUCUGUUAUUAGGGAAGAACAAAUGUGUAAGUAACUGUGCACGUCUUGACGGUACCUAAUCAGAAAGCCACGGCUAACUACGUGCCAGCAGCCGCGGUAAUACGUAGGUGGCAAGCGUUAUCCGGAAUUAUUGGGCGUAAAGCGCGCGUAGGCGGUUUCUUAAGUCUGAUGUGAAAGCCCACGGCUCAACCGUGGAGGGUCAUUGGAAACUGGGAAACUUGAGUGCAGAAGAGGAAAGUGGAAUUCCAUGUGUAGCGGUGAAAUGCGCAGAGAUAUGGAGGAACACCAGUGGCGAAGGCGACUUUCUGGUCUGUAACUGACGCUGAUGUGCGAAAGCGUGGGGAUCAAACAGGAUUAGAUACCCUGGUAGUCCACGCCGUAAACGAUGAGUGCUAAGUGUUAGGGGGUUUCCGCCCCUUAGUGCUGCAGCUAACGCAUUAAGCACUCCGCCUGGGGAGUACGACCGCAAGGUUGAAACUCAAAGGAAUUGACGGGGACCCGCACAAGCGGUGGAGCAUGUGGUUUAAUUCGAAGCAACGCGAAGAACCUUACCAAAUCUUGACAUCCUUUGAAAACUCUAGAGAUAGAGCUUUCCCCUUCGGGGGACAAAGUGACAGGUGGUGCAUGGUUGUCGUCAGCUCGUGUCGUGAGAUGUUGGGUUAAGUCCCGCAACGAGCGCAACCCUUAAGCUUAGUUGCCAUCAUUAAGUUGGGCACUCUAGGUUGACUGCCGGUGACAAACCGGAGGAAGGUGGGGAUGACGUCAAAUCAUCAUGCCCCUUAUGAUUUGGGCUACACACGUGCUACAAUGGACAAUACAAAGGGCAGCUAAACCGCGAGGUCAUGCAAAUCCCAUAAAGUUGUUCUCAGUUCGGAUUGUAGUCUGCAACUCGACUACAUGAAGCUGGAAUCGCUAGUAAUCGUAGAUCAGCAUGCUACGGUGAAUACGUUCCCGGGUCUUGUACACACCGCCCGUCACACCACGAGAGUUUGUAACACCCGAAGCCGGUGGAGUAACCAUUUAUGGAGCUAGCCGUCGAAGUGACAAAUGG
rnacentral:rRNA from 1 species